rnacentral:lncRNA from 13 species
UAACUCCAGCUACUCAGGAAAGCUGAGACAAGAGAAUUGCUUGAACCUGGGAGGCGGAAGUUGCAGUGAGCCGAGAUUGCACCACUGCACUCCAGCCUGGGCGGCAGAGCCAGACUUCCUCUCAAUAAAGGAAGAGGCAGGGUAGGGGCGUAGGCGGCGUGUAGGGGCAGAGGCGGGGUGUAGGGGCGGAGGCGGGGUGUAGGGGCGGAGGCGGGGUGUAGGGGCGGAGGCGGGGUGUAGGGGCGUAGGCGGAAGCCGGAAGCCGAGGAGAGGCGUACGGGCGUAAGCGUGGGAGACGUAGUGGAGGCAGAGGCGAGAUCCAAGUCAUUUGAUGAAUCAGGUGUUAAUUUAGUUGUUGAAUUAUCAUGAGCUGUGAUUCAGUAUUCCUUACAGCAAGAUGACUUUCCUGUUUUGUCUCUCUUCCACAAAAGAGAAGAAUUUCCACAGCAAGUAUUAGUGAAGAGAAUGAAGGUGGAGGGCCACAUAUCCAAUCUCGGGUAACUCACUAACAGCCCAAUUGGUUAAACAUCAUUGACAUUGGACUUAAUAAAAAGAAAACAGGGAUCUGCAUUUAAAUUCAGGAAUGAACACAUAAAGAGGGAGACACCAACACCAACUUUUUCUGUGAGAAAAGACCGUGUGAGGACACAAGGAAUAGGUGGCAAUCUGCAAGCUAAGGAGAGAGGUCACAGGAAAAACCAACCUUGUCAGCACCUUGAUAGAAGAUUUCUAGCCUCCAUAAAUGUGUUAUUCUCGGAAACUGUUGCCUAAUCUGAGGUCACGAAGAUAUACUCCUACGUUUUGCUAUAAGAGUUCAACAUUUUUACUACUUACAUUUAAGCCUGUCAUUCAUUUUUAAUUAAUUUAUGUACCUGGUGUUCUCAUUCUUUUAUAUGUAGAUAGCCAGUGGUCUCAGCCCCAUUAGUUAAAAAGGCUAUUCUUUCCUCAUUGAAUUAACUUGGCACUGUUGUUGAAAAUCAAUUUAGUGUUAAAUGUAAGCAUUUAUUUCUGGACUAGCCUUGUUAGCUUAACCAGUGGGGUUAAAUUUUACUUUCUUAUAAUGAGUGUAAUUAAAA